GACGAACGCUGGCGGCGUGCUUAACACAUGCAAGUCGAACGGAAAGGCCCUGCUUUUGUGGGGUGCUCGAGUGGCGAACGGGUGAGUAACACGUGAGUAACCUGCCCUUGACUUUGGGAUAACUUCAGGAAACUGGGGCUAAUACCGGAUAGGAGCUCCUGCUGCAUGGUGGGGGGUGGAAAGUUUCGGCGGUUGGGGAUGGACUCGCGGCUUAUCAGCUUGUUGGUGGGGUAGUGGCUUACCAAGGCUUUGACGGGUAGCCGGCCUGGGAGGGUGACCGGCCACAUUGGGACUGAGAGACGGCCCAGACUCCUACGGGAGACAGCAGUGGGGAAUAUUGCACAGUGGGCGGGAGCCUGAUGCAGCAACGCCGCGUGCGGGAUGACGGCCUUCGGGUUAUAAACCGCUGUCGCCUGUGACGAAGCGUGAGUGACGGUAAUGGGUAAAGAAGCACCGGCUAACUACGUG
rnacentral:rRNA from 1 species